GGUUUGCCAGGGCGUCGUGAUGCUAAUUCAUGUCGCAGUGUGACUCUCAUCACCUCGCAUGUCAACAAACAGAGCGCCCAGGCUAGGGCAGUAAACCUACUUCUGUUUCCUACCCUCAAGUCAAUAAUAGUCUCAGCUAUUCUUUGUAUUCAGAGUUUUUCACCAACUUAAAUGUAUUUAGAAAUGUGAAUGGAACUGAAGAGUCAAAUUUUUAGGGACUUAAUUAAAAUUGAAAUGCAUUUUCUUA